rnacentral:rRNA from 1 species
UUAAUUAUAAUGCUAAUUUAUCAGCAUAAAGAUUGACUAUAAGAUUAAAAUCUACUCAUCUAACCAGAAAGAUGGAAGAUUCUACAAUGACAGAUAGAGUAAAUCUUCAUAAGGUUUUAGAAACUAAGUGCCAGCACUAGCGGUCAUACUUACAAACCAAAUCAAUCGAUACAGAGUUACACUUAAAAUCAUGAUAAAUAAGAUGGAUACAGAGGUAAAAUUCAUAGAUCUAAUCUUACAUCCCAAAACCAAGUGAUACAUUUCAGUCAUAAACUAGGAUUAGAUACCCUACUAUUUGUAACAUAACUAUUAAACUUAGAGAGUAACUGAUAAAUCAUGAAAUCAAGAUAAUUAUGGCAGUAGAAUUUCAGAUCAGAGGCACAUGUUCUCAAACGAAGCUACACGAACAUCUUACCCCUCUUUAAAUUUUGUACACCGCUGUCUACAGGCCUUAGAUCACCCUAUCGCCCCAAUACCCUCUUAGGUUAUAAGUCAAGUCAAGGUGCAGACAAUAGAGUGGCUUGAAUGUGUGUCAUUAUUUAGAUCCCAACCCAUCCAUGCAAUAGUUUGGCUUAAAGAAUUUGACAGUAAUCGGUGUUCACCAUACACCAAUGAAUUAGUAACUUUCUAGGUACAAAUCGCCCGUCACUCCCUACCAGGGGAUAAGUCGUAACACAGUUGACCUACUGGAAAGUGGGUCAGG